AUGCUCAAAAUUUUCCAAGCCAGGCUUCAGCAAUACGUGAACCGUGAACUUCCAGAUGUUCAAGCUGGUUUUAGAAAAGGCAGAGGAACCAGAGAUCAAAUUGCCAACAUCCGCUGGAUCAUGGAAAAAGCAAGAGAGUUCCAGAAAAACAUCUAUUUCUGCUUUAUUGACUAUGCCAAAGCCUUUGACUGCGUGGAUCACAAUAAACUGUGGAAAAUUCUGAGAGAGAUCGGAAUACCAGACCACCUGACCUGCCUCUUGAGAAAUCUGUAUGCAGGUCAGGAAGCAACAGUUAGAACUGGACAUGGAACAACAGACUGGUUCCAAAUAGGAAAAGGAGUACGUCAAGGCUGUAUAUUGUCACCCUACUUAUUUAACUUCUAUGCAGAGUACAUCAUGAGAAAUGCUGGACUGGAAGAAGCACAAGCUGGAAUCAAGAUUGCUGGGAGAAAUACCAAUAACCUCAGAUAUGCAGAUGACACCACCCUUAUGGCAGAAAGUGAAGAGGAACUAAAAAGCCUCUUGAUGAAAGUGAAAGUGGAGAGUGAAAAAGUUGGCUUAAAGCUCAACAUUCAGAAAACGAAGAUCAUGGCAUCUGGUCCCAUCUCUUCAUGGGAAAUAGAUGGGGAAACAGUGUCAGACUUGAUUUUGGGGGGCUCCAAAAUCACUGCAGAUGGUGACUGCAGCCGUGAAAUUAAAAGACGCUUACUGCUUGGAAGAAAAGUUAUGGCCAACCUAGAUAGCAUAUUUGAAAGCAGAGACAUUAUUUUGCCAACAAAGGUCCAUCUAGCCAAGGCUAUGGUUUUUCCUGUGGUCAUGUAUGGAUGUGAGAGUUGGACUGUGAAGAAAGCUGCGCACCGAAGAAUUGAUGUGUUUGAACUGUGGUGUUGGAGAAGACUCUUGAGAGUCCCUUGGACUGCAAGGAGAUCCAAGCAGUCCAUUCUGAAGGAGAUCAGCCCUGGGAUUUCUUUGGAAGGAAUGAUGCUGAAGCUGAAAUUCCAGUACUUUGGCCACCUCAUGCGAAGAGUUGACUCACUGGAAAAGACUCUGAUGCUGGAAGGGACUGGGGGCAGGAGGAGAAGGGGGCGACAGAAGAUGAGAUGGCUGGAUGGCAUCAGUGACUCGAUGGACGUGAGUCUGAGUGAACUCCGGGAGAUGGUGAUGGACAGGGAGGCCUGGCGUGCUGCGAUUCAUGGGGUCGCAAAGAGUUGGACACGACUGAGUGGCUGA
rnacentral:lncRNA from 1 species